rnacentral:rRNA from 1 species
ACGAACGCUGGCGGCGUGCCUAAUACAUGCAAGUAGAACGCUGAAGAGAGGAGCUUGCUCUUCUUGGAUGAGUUGCGAACGGGUGAGUAACGCGUAGGUAACCUGCCUUGUAGCGGGGGAUAACUAUUGGAAACGAUAGCUAAUACCGCAUAACAAUGGAUGACACAUGUCAUUUAUUUGAAAGGGGCAAUUGCUCCACUACAAGAUGGACCUGCGUUGUAUUAGCUAGUAGGUGAGGUAAUGGCUCACCUAGGCGACGAUACAUAGCCGACCUGAGAGGGUGAUCGGCCACACUGGGACUGAGACACGGCCCAGACUCCUACGGGAGGCAGCAGUAGGGAAUCUUCGGCAAUGGGGGCAACCCUGACCGAACAACGCCGCGUGAGUGAAGAAGGUUUUCGGAUCGUAAAGCUCUGUUGUAAGUCAAGAACGGGUGUGAGAGUGGAAAGUUCACACUGUGACGGUAGCUUACCAGAAAGGGACGGCUAACUACGUGCCAGCAGCCGCGGUAAUACGUAGGUCCCGAGCGUUGUCCGGAUUUAUUGGGCGUAAAGCGAGCGCAGGCGGUUUGAUAAGUCUGAAGUUAAAGGCUGUGGCUCAACCAUAGUUCGCUUUGGAAACUGUCAAACUUGAGUGCAGAAGGGGAGAGUGGAAUUCCAUGUGUAGCGGUGAAAUGCGUAGAUAUAUGGAGGAACACCGGUGGCGAAAGCGGCUCUCUGGUCUGUAACUGACGCUGAGGCUCGAAAGCGUGGGGAGCGAACAGGAUUAGAUACCCUGGUAGUCCACGCCGUAAACGAUGAGUGCUAGGUGUUGGAUCCUUUCCGGGAUUCAGUGCCGCAGCUAACGCAUUAAGCACUCCGCCUGGGGAGUACGACCGCAAGGUUGAAACUCAAAGGAAUUGACGGGGGCCCGCACAAGCGGUGGAGCAUGUGGUUUAAUUCGAAGCAACGCGAAGAACCUUACCAGGUCUUGACAUCCCGAUGCUAUUUCUAGAGAUAGAAAGUUACUUCGGUACAUCGGUGACAGGUGGUGCAUGGUUGUCGUCAGCUCGUGUCGUGAGAUGUUGGGUUAAGUCCCGCAACGAGCGCAACCCCUAUUGUUAGUUGCCAUCAUUCAGUUGGGCACUCUAGCGAGACUGCCGGUAAUAAACCGGAGGAAGGUGGAGAUGACGUCAAAUCAUCAUGCCCCUUAUGACCUGGGCUACACACGUGCUACAAUGGUUGGUACAACGAGUUGCGAGUCGGUGACGGCGAGCUAAUCUCUUAAAGCCAAUCUCAGUUCGGAUUGUAGGCUGCAACUCGCCUACAUGAAGUCGGAAUCGCUAGUAAUCGCGGAUCAGCACGCCGCGGUGAAUACGUUCCCGGGCCUUGUACACACCGCCCGUCACACCACGAGAGUUUGUAACACCCGAAGUCGGUGAGGUAACCUUUUGGAGCCAGCCGCCUAAGGUGGGACAGAUGAUUGGGGUG